CUUGCCUGCUGGGAUGUGUUUGUAAUCGCGGACUUCCUCUAGCGCCAAGCAGCCUUGGCGUGCCGCAUUAGGACACCCAAUCGUCAUCCCGAGUCGCUAGUUGAGAUAGUCGGCGGUUCAGUGUAAGGUAAGCAAGAUGAACCCCGACCAUUGAUCGCCCGUCUCAGGAUCUAGACCGAACACCCAUCGUUAGGCCACAAACCGAAUGCC
rnacentral:lncRNA from 1 species